rnacentral:tRNA from 1 species
GACUCAGUAGCUCAGUUGGAUAGAGCAUCUGCCUUCUAAGCAGUUGGUCGGGGGUUCAAGUCCCUCCUGAGUCG